GCCUCAGAGAGGGGAGCCUUCCCUUCGCGGGCACGGCCAGGGCCUGGGCUUCUUGCCUCAGACUUUAUCUGCCUCACGUCGGAGAGGCCAUGGAAAGGUUCUGCGGCUGUUGUCUCUUUAAAUUCAGGGCCGCUCCCUCAGGCCAUUCCCUGCCUCCCCUCCCCGCCGCGGCCCCUCGCCGGUGCGUGGGCAGGCUGCUGAGGCCGCGCCGGUUGGGAUCACCUGUGAGGUGCCCUCUGGCCGCCGACACAGUGGCUGCUGAGGUUCGGUUGGUUCAUUUGGAUGGUGCACAGGAGAGAGAUCGCUGCAUGCCAUGACAUAAAAAGGCAGGACUACUUUUACCUGCUCCAGUCACAUAUGGCUGAGGAUGCGAAUGUUUUCUUGGCUACAAGGAACAAGCAGGCCGGGCCUUGGCGCCCCCCCCGAGCAGCUGCCUUUUCUCAGGCAGCCCCCGCCCGCUGCAGCUGCACUGCGGCCUGGGAGAUGAGGAGAUGUGGUAGCCCCUGAGGUGAGCGGCUCCGAAGCUAUGAAGGGCUCCGAGGAAGCUGACCAGUUUUGCUGUGUAACAAGAUUUGAUGCUACAAGUUUUUCCACCUGGAAACUGCCAUGUCUUGGUUUAUCAGGGAAAGGCAUUAAAUGCCUCCAUGCUGCAGGCAAGAAUCGUUGCUGAAAGCUGCCCAAGCCAGCAUUGCAUCCCUCUGCACACCUGCAAAUCUCCAUGCCAAGUCCAGAGCCCUGGAAAGGACACAGUCUGCCCAAAGAGGAAUGAAGACCAGGUCAGAGACCAUCUAACCCUCAGCAUCCUGCCAGAGCCCUGAGGAAAACUGCAAAAGCCUCCAACAGACAGAGCAGAAAAGUUUAAUUUGGAUUGAACCAAAAAGGAAAUUAACCAAAUAACAGCAAAAUGUGAUUUCAAGGAAAACAGAAGAUUCGCAUCCUAUGACCUCCUUCAGAGUUGUGCCUUGUUUUUAAAGCCACAGGAAAGCUCAGUGCUACAGAAGGUGAUUAUACAGAAGCCACAAAAUCAAGUAAUGUUUUCAGCCUAUGCAAGAAAUGAAAAUCCUGAAAAUCCAUAAAGCAACAACACUUAAACUCUUUCACCUUACUAGAGAAGAUGAUGUCUUGGGAUAUUCAGGCUGAGAAGACAGGUAUGGGUCCUGCACAGCAUGGGUAGCUGGCUUAGUUGAAGUUGCAGAACUGCUUGCACAGGAAGAAAUUGAUGACAUCAUGACAAGUUCUAAGCUGAACUUUUUCAAGAAGUGCUGAUACUUCAACUGUCCACCUCUGAUGACAUCCACUGAGUCCCAAAGCUUUCCAAACUAAUGAAUGAGCACAAGAUGACUUCUGUAAAUGCUGCUUUACAACAACACCCUCCCCAUAUCUACUAAGGAUUAUGACAGUACAUACAAAAAAGAAAGGGAGGUGAUGCCUUGGAACAGAAGGGGUCCCAGGGCCCACCUUAUUAACAAAAAAAUGAUCACAGCCUCUCUGCAGAAGCUUGCACAAGGCUGGGAAAAAAUGAAAGAACGAUUUCUGCAGGACAUUUUUUAAUUGAAUUGGGCCCUUAGUGUGCUGUUUAAACUACUAAACCCCAUGAUUAGACACAGUGUUUGAGCUGCAGCAUAGGAGAACAAUGCUUUAACACGAGAUGUAAAUCAAAUACAUGGUGCACCUGUAUUUGUACUAGGCACCAUUAAAGCAGAUUUCUCAUGUUAUUAGGUGCACCUAAGUUAUGCCACCAUCUCAGGAGGCCAUUAAGGUUCCUCAGUUAUUGUGUUUGCAUCAACAAAUUAUUUCACCCUCAGGGCAAAAAUGAAUCAGCACAAA